AUUUACACAUGCACCCACACCUCCAUAUAUAUAGUCUUGCCGGGCUCCUUAAAUGAAUAGUUGUUUCCACCACCCACCCAUUCCAGAUGGCGGCCCUUUUAUGGUCUAAAAUUAAACAUAUCUGACACUUCUCUAAAAAACUGUGAUUGUGUUUAAAACAUAGGGAUUUCUAAUUCACAUCUCUCCUCCUUCAUCAACAGGAAACCACCGUGAAAGUCUUCAAUAGACAUCGGAUCAUGAUUUACCGCAUAAAAACGAUGACUGACAGGCUACCCUGGCUCAGUUAUCACAGUGCUGCUGCUGUCAAUUCUAAAGGUACAGUACUGUGAUAACUGAAGGAUGGCAGCCAUCUUAACGUCAAUUUCCCAGCAUGCCUUGAACUCACACCUCCAUUCGAUUUACUUCAAUCUGCAUUAUGUUGCUCUAUGCGUUAAAAAAAACAAAAAAAAACCUUUUAUUUAAUAAAAUUAAAAAAUAUUAAAGUUAUAUAGUUUUCAUUUGACUAUGUCAAAGUUUAGAAAUAAAGACU